rnacentral:misc_RNA from 1 species
ACCGGAGCGACGAGUAGACCUCCUCGGAGAUCGAAAGUCCUCGGAAGUCGCACGCCUCGACACACACGUCGAUCUCUCAUUCGAUUUUCUCUAUCGAGCCUGGCCGCAGCGCGGUCAGCGGCGAUUUUGCUUUUUGACAACGGAAAUUUGGAAGUGAUCGUGGGAUAGAUCGUGCUACGUCAUGUGACGUCGAAAGACGGCGCACGGCGAGUGCGAUACGGAUCCAAACUAGUGAUGCAUUUCGCGGCGUUCGGCGGCUCCGGAGGCAACUCGGGAGUGCGACGGACGCCUUGAUUGAUCACUCGUACGACGCGAGCUCUGAGCUCGCGUCGGUAGAUCGCGCGUGCUCUGCUUGAACUACGAUGUAGUCAAGCGAGCGAAGGCAUGUGGGGGAUGCCUGGGCACACGGAGGCGAGGAAGGCCGUGGUAAGCUGCGAUAAGCUCGGGGGAGCGGCACACACGCAGAGAUCCCGAGAUGG